UACGAAGGGGCUAGCGUUGUUCGGAAUUACUGGGCGUAAAGCGCGUGUAGGCGGGUCUUUAAGUCAGGGGUGAAAUGCCAAGGCUCAACCUUGGAACUGCCUUUGAUACUGGAGACCUUGAGUCCGGGAGAGGUGAGUGGAAUUGCGAGUGUAGAGGUGAAAUUCGUAGAUAUUCGCAAGAACACCAGUGGCGAAGGCGGCUCACUGGCCCGGAACUGACGCUGAGACGCGAAAGCGUGGGGAGCAACAGG
rnacentral:rRNA from 1 species